rnacentral:rRNA from 1 species
AUGAAGAGGAGCAGCGUGGUGUACAUUAUUGCCGUUUUGUUCAUCGGGUGCCUUCUUAUUGGUGGACAAUGUCGGCCUGAGCCUGAGAGCACCAACGAAGAUGGCCGUGCCAACGCGACAAUGGUGGUCUCAUCAUCAGAUGAUAACGAAAUUACGAUGAAAUUUUGUGUUAUUAGGGAUUGUAAGACCAAAGGUGAAUUCUUGGGCUUGAAAGGAGCGUGCUUCUGCUGCCUCAAUCGGUCGGACGUACCGUGUUUUCAUACCCAAGAUGAGUGUAAGAAGAAUUGCCCACCAAUCUGA